AAGAUACAUGAUUUGAUAGCAAAAACAUUACAAGAAAACCAAACAAGACAAUUAUUUCAGCUAAGUUCACAUUUUGGCGUUUGUCAUUACAAGAAAACUUGAAUAAUAAAUCACAAUCAUAUGCUAUAAUUUCAGCCCAUUAAUUAAGCAACAGUUUCUGCAGGCUUUUCUUCUGUGGGCUUUGGUUCGGGCUCAGCUGGUGUUUCUGUGGGCUUUUCUUCUACGGGCUUUUCUUCCACGGGCUUUGUUUCUGGUUCUGGUGCUGAUGCUGGUGCUGGUUCUUCCCAAUAUGAUGUCUUCUUUCCGGUCUUUGAAACCGUUUGGAAAACAGCUUCCGGUUCCACAUUUCCUAUUACUGUCACUUUUUGCUCCUUUAUAUCGAUGUCAAAUGAUUCAACACCUUCCAUUUUACCCAAAACUCUGUUGACAGCUCCAACACAACCUUGGCAUGACAUGCCAACCUUGAGAACAACUGUCUGAGACAUGAUGAAAUGUGGAGAAAAAAAUGUGAAAGCUUUUGCUUUGGUGAGA
rnacentral:misc_RNA from 1 species